UACAGAGGUCUCAAGCGUUGUUCGGAUUCAUUGGGCGUAAAGGGUGUGUAGGUGGCGCCGUAAGUCGGGUGUGAAAUUUCGGAGCUUAACUCCGAAACUGCAUUCGAUACUGCGGUGCUUGAGGACUGGAGAGGAGACUGGAAUUCAUGGUGUAGCAGUGAAUGCGUAGAGAUCAUGAGGAAGACCAGUGGCGAAGGCGGGUCUCUGGACAGUUCCUGACACUGAGACACGAAGGCCAGGGAGCAACGGG
rnacentral:rRNA from 1 species